UGGACUUGGACGAUGUCAGUACCGAAGUG
rnacentral:sRNA from 1 species